GAUCACCCUCGCGCGCGGCGCAGAGUCGCUGUAAUGAAUGCUCGGGAAGUUAUGGAGAGGAAGAAUACGAUCCCAGUGAUUAAUGCCAAAGCCCUGUUGCCUGUGGAGAGGGUGAUGCUUGACUUUAUUGUACAGCUGCAGUUUGUGUGGUGAAGGUGCUCCCACAAUGUGGUUGGGAUGCUACAGGUGGACAUUCAGAUGGUAAUCUCAGUCAUUAUAACACCAAACUCUGAUUGAAUUAGUCAGUUCAUCAGGACUUGGAUAUUCGCAUUGUGUGGUGCUAGAUGGUGAAGAUUUGCAGACUGAAAUCUCAAAAUCAUGUGCAGAUUGUGAUUAUGUUAACCAGCAUUUGAAGAACCAAAGAUAGAGAAUCACUCGGCCAAAAUCCUGCAACACUCUCCCUCCCAGCAUUGUUGGUCUAUCUGCACCAAAUGGACUGUGAAUGGUUCAAGACAGCAGCUCACUCCCAUCUUCUCAAGGGUAACUAGAGAUGGGGAAUAAAUGCUGGCUGAGCCAGUGAUGCCCAUAUCCUGGAAAUGGUUUCUAUCUCUAGUUGCUGAACCCCAGUUGAUGUUACUGCAGGAUGAUGAGGGAUGCUGAGUGCAUCCUCCAGGAGGCAGCACCAUCACAUUACCCCUGCCUACACCCACACAGUAACACCGCCACGUCACUGGAACAAA